rnacentral:lncRNA from 1 species
UCUGGAGCACACGAUAAUUCGAAUAUAUUUCCGAAUUCUUCUUCGAAUUUUUUUUAUCAAAUCCUUUAUAGCAUAGAAAUUAAGAUAUUUUUUUAAAGCUUUUUUUAGCUUAGCAUUCGAAGCAGCAUUUAAACAUCGUGCCAAAAAAAAUCGAAAAACAAAAGAAAGAAGAAAAAUCAUAGUUCUUCUUCGAUUUUGAAAGUAUAAAAAUUUCUACGGGGUCCACAUUAUGUCAAUGAAAAAGAAAUUAUACAACUGUUUAGAGAACGUUAUAAAUUGCUCGACAAUGUUUCAGUGAAUUGUGUUCGCGAAUUAUCUUUAAUGCCUUUAAGAACGUCCUGAGUCCUGGAAUAUAUUCCAUGUUACAAUGUGUUGUCAAUAGCAAUAGAAUUGAUUCAAUUCUCGUUUUUGAUACUUUUUAUGUAACAAUUGUUCGAUAAUAUCAAGUAUGGAUCACAAGAAAACAAAAGCGAAAUUUGACACAAAGAAAUAUUUGUUAUGUUUAAUAUUUUAAAAAGUAUAUAAUAUAUAGGUUAUAAAAUACUUCAUAAUAACGAUUUGUCGUUCUCAAUGCAAGUAGAGAAUCGCAUCGUAUUUACAGGUAAAAGCAAAUAAAAAAAAAUAAAGCUAUCGUCAAAUGAUUCAUAUAUGCUCUUUUAGAAUUUCAAGAGCAAUCGUUUUUAUUUUUUCUUUUCCAAUAUAUAUAAAUCCAACAUGAUUAUACUAUAAUAUAGUAUACGUAUUCGUAUCGUUAUUGUACCGUGCAAUUCGAAUGAUAUUUGACGAGUUAUAUCUGAUAUAAAUAUAUUCGUCAAGACGCGACAAUAGUAACACUAAUUAAACAUAUAUAUUCGAGCAUCGAAGAAAUAUAUAAGUAUACAUAUUGACAGACUCUUUCUAUGGUUUUUCGAGCGUGAAUAUAAUAGAGGAGAAGGUUGUAACAGAAGAAAGAAUUUAUAUAGAUUAUUAUAUCUGUACUUUAUUGUGUCAUAGUAGACGUGUUUCUUGCGGCCACGUCCAUCGAUGGAAUAAACAUUGACGUAAAUAAAUAAAACAGAUAUAGAAAAUAUAAUGGUACUUUGGUAAA